AACAGGUUUGAGCACCUUGGACCGUGUGAGAAAAUGCAGUUCAAGAAAGGGUCAGUACCGACCCUUCGCGCGAUUACCACCCCUAUCGAGUAGACGAUUAAGGACGGUCGAGGUCCAUCGGGCUACUAUUGAUACCCUUUUUUCACUUUGUCCAUUUUUCGUAACCUGAUUUUCGAGUUUUGUUAGUUGUAUUCGAUUUUUCGGUUACUUUAGCGAUCGUCGCAGUUGAUAUGGUCAGUCCGAUCUUUGAUUUCGUGGUUGUAACACCGUGGUUUUGGCUGGAGUCCAAAUCAAGACCAUCAUGAGUUUUUAAAAAGCCUAAGAUGUCGUGAAAAAGUUACAAGUUUGGAUGAAGAUUUCAAGAAAAAACCAAUUCCGGAAUUUCACUCUAACCAAAUCCAAUCAUGCCACGGUGUUAUAGGGUCGGACUCAACCAAAAUUCUUUUGGAGUAUUAUUAUAUCGAUCUUUCGAGCACUAAAAUGUACAAACUCCAUGUUUAAAUGAUAUUAGUUUGAAUGACACCUGAAAAAACCAUUUUCGACAGGAAUUCCCAUCAGAUCAGAAUUACACGGAGUUGACGAAAUUCUAAAAGACGUUUUGCUGAGUAAACACAUUAUAAAGAAAAAUAUCCCACCAUUUAAGGACAAUAUACCACACCAACAUCACUUGAAGGAAGCAGGAUCAAUUUGAUACCAAAAAAAUAAUAUAUACCAAAGAAAAAUUAAUUAACACUGAAGACCGAAGAAAUGAACAAACUUGGCUAUUAGCAUCCAGAUACUCAAACAUCAUGAAACGGUAUCCCCGAUUCUACUUACCAUCAAAAACAUGCACUUACAGGAUGAGCCAUUAUGAACUAUAACUCACCAUACCAUAAAUGGACACAUUGAGCAACUCUCCAUACUCGGUACUGAGGAAUACAACAACAUCCCC